rnacentral:rRNA from 1 species
UACGGAGGGUGCAAGCGUUGUUCGGAAUUACUGGGCGUAAAGGGCUCGUAGGUGGCCAAUUAAGUCAGGCGUGAAAUCCCCAGGCUCAACUUGGGAACUGCGUCUGAUACUGGUUGGCUUGAAUUCGGGAGAGGGAUGCAGAAUUCCAGGUGUAGCGGUGAAAUGCGUAGAUAUCUGGAGGAAUACCGGUGGCGAAGGCGGCAUCCUGGACCGAGAUUGACACUGAUGAGCGAAAGCCAGGGGAGCAAACGGG